rnacentral:rRNA from 1 species
UACGUAGGGGGCAAGCGUUAUCCGGAUUUACUGGGUGUAAAGGGGGCGCAGACGGCCAUGGCAAGCCCGGUGUGAAAGGCAGGGGCAUAACCCCUGGACUGCACUGGGAACUGUCAGGCUGGAGUGCCGGAGGGGUAAGCGGAAUUCCUGGUGUAGCGGUGAAAUGCGUAGAUAUCAGGAGGAACACCGGCGGCGAAGGCGGCUUACUGGACGGCAACUGACGUUGAGGCCCGAAAGCGUGGGGAGCGAAC